rnacentral:rRNA from 1 species
GAUGAACGCUGGCGGCGUGCCUAAUACAUGCAAGUCGAGCGAACGGACGAGAAGCUUGCUUCUCUGAUGUUGGCGGCGGACGGGUGAGUAACACGUGGAUAACCUACCUAUAAGACUGGGAUAACUUCGGGAAACCGGAGCUAAUACCGGAUAAUAUUUUGAACCGCAUGGUUCAAAAGUGAAAGACGGCCUUGCUGUCACUUAUAGAUGGAUCCGCGCUGCAUUAGCUAGUUGGUAAGGUAACGGCUUACCAAGGCAACGAUGCAUAGCCGACCUGAGAGGGUGAUCGGCCACACUGGAACUGAGACACGGUCCAGACUCCUACGGGAGGCAGCAGUAGGGAAUCUUCCGCAAUGGGCGAAAGCCUGACGGAGCAACGCCGCGUGAGUGAUGAAGGUCUUCGGAUCGUAAAACUCUGUUAUUAGGGAAGAACAUAUGUGUAAGUAACUGUGCACAUCUUGACGGUACCUAAUCAGAAAGCCACGGCUAACUACGUG